rnacentral:rRNA from 1 species
GACGUAGGGCGCGAGCGUUUAUCCGGAAUUAUUGGGCGUAAAGAGCUCGUAGGCGGUUUGUCGCGUCUGCCGUGAAAGUCCGGGGCUCAACUCCGGAUCUGCGGUGGGUACGGGCAGACUAGAGUGAUGUAGGGGAGACUGGAAUUCCUGGUGUAGCGGUGAAAUGCGCAGAUAUCAGGAGGAACACCGAUGGCGAAGGCAGGUCUCUGGGCAUUAACUGACGCUGAGGAGCGAAAGCAUGGGGAGCGAACAGGAU